GACGAACGCUGGCGGCGUGCUUAACACAUGCAAGUCGAACGGAAAGGCCCUGCUUUUGUGGGGUGCUCGAGUGGCGAACGGGUGAGUAACACGCGAGUAACCUGCCCUUGACUUUGGGAUAACUUCAGGAAACUGGGGCUAAUAUCGGAUAGGAGCUCCUGCUGCAUGGUGGGGGUUGGAAAGUUUCGGCGGUUGGGGAUGGACUCGCGGCUUAUCAGCUUGUUGGUGGGGUAGUGGCUUACCAAGGCUGUGACGGGUAGCCGGCCUGAGAGGGUGGCCGGCCACAUUGGGACUGAGAGACGGACCAGAAGGCUACGGGAGGCAGCAGUGGGGAAUAUGACACAGUGGGCGGGAGCCUGAUGCAGAAGCGCCGCGUGCGGGAUGACGGCCUUCGGGUUGUGAACAGCUGUCGCCUGUGACGAAGCGUGAGUGACGGUAAUGGGUAAAGAAGCACCGGCUAACUACGUG
rnacentral:rRNA from 1 species